GCCGCUGUAGCUCAGUCGGUCAGGGCGUUUGUCUAAUAAGCCCAAGGUCGUAGGUUUGACCACUGCCAGCGCCA
rnacentral:tRNA from 1 species